UACGUAGGGUGCAAGCGUUGUCCGGAAUUAUUGGGCGUAAAGAGCUCGUAGGCGGUGUGUCACGUCGGCCGUGAAAACCUGGGGGCUUAACUCUGGGCGUGCGGUCGAUACGGGCAUCACUGGAGUUCGGCAGGGGGAGACUGGAAUUCCUGGUGUAGCGGUGAAAUGCGCAGAUAUCAGGAGGAACACCGGUGGCGAAGGCGGGUCUCUGGGGCCGAUACUGACGCUGAGGAGCGAAAAGCGUGGGGGAGCAAAC
rnacentral:rRNA from 1 species